GGGAGUGAGCCGGGACCGGCACCGGGAUCGGCACAGGGGAUCUCAGCCGGGACCGGAGCCGGGGUGUCCCCGCCGCCCUCGGCCCGGCCCCGGCACCGGCAGGAGCCGCACGGUUUCCCACACUGGAAGGAGAAUUCCCCUGGCACCGGUGACCUCCUGAGGCAGUUCUGGGUGCGGGAUGGAGCGGUGGAGCAGGGCAGACCCCCAGCUCCGAGAGGUCGUGUGCUUCGCCCUGCGCUGCCGGGCCCUGGCGCUGCUGCUGCAGGCAAGUCUGUCCUCCAGGCAGGGAGGCUCUGCUGGGGUUUGCUGCCUUCAGUACCCCGGGAUCCAUGAGCUGGUUCUGCACAAUGGGGAAAGCAACUUCUCGGAGAGCCAACAGACCGUCUGCAGCCAGGGCUUUUACUUACAGGUUGCUGUUAAGUAAAAUCACAUUAAUUUCCUUUAA